UAUUGGACAAUGGGCGAAAGCCUGAUCCAGCAAUACCGCGUGUGUGAAGAAGGCCUUAGGGUUGUAAAGCACUUUCAAUUGGGAGGAAAACCUACCGGUCAAUACCCGGUAGCUUGACAUUACCUUUAGAAGAAGCACCGGCUAACUCCGUGCCAGCAGCCGCGGUAAUACGGAGGGUGCGAGCGUUAAUCGGAAUUACUGGGCGCAAAGCGUGCGUAGGCGGUUCGUUAAGUCAGAUGUGAAAGCCCUGGGCUCAACCUGGGAACUGCAUUUGAAACUGGCGGACUAGAGUUUAGUAGAGGGGAGUGGAAUUUCAGGUGUAGCGGUGAAAUGCGUAGAUAUUUGAAGGAACACCAGUGGCGAAGGCGACUCCCUGACUAGAACUGACGCUGAGUACGAAA
rnacentral:rRNA from 1 species